AAAAAAGGUAAGCUACUAAGAGCGAAUGGUGGAUGCCUUGACUGGUAAAGGCGAUGAAGGACGUACUAGACUGCGAUAAGCUACGGGGAGCUGUCAAGAAGCUUUGAUCCGUAGAUUUCCGAAUGGGGCAACCCAAUGUAUAGAGAUAUACAUUACCUAUAUAGGAGCGAACGAGGGGAAUUGAAACAUCUUAGUACCCUCAGGAAAAGAAAUCAAUAGAGAUUGCGUCAGUAGCGGCGAGCGAAAGCGCAAGAGGGCAAACCCAGUGCUUGCACUGGGGGUUGUAGGACUGCAAUGUGCAAGAGGUGAGUUUAGCAGAACAUUCUGGAAAGUAUAGCCAUAGAGGGUGAUAGUCCCGUAUGCGAAAAACAAACCUUAGCUAGCAGUAUCCUGAGUAGGGCGGGACACGAGAAAUCCUGUCUGAAGCUGGGUCGACCACGAUCCAACCCUAAAUACUAAUACCAGAUCGAUAGUGCACAAGUACCGUGAGGGAAAGGUGAAAAGAACUGAGGUGAUCAGAGUGAAAUAGAACCUGAAACCAUUUGCUUACAAUCAUUCAGAGCCCUAUGUAGCAAUACAGGGUGAUGGACUGCCUUUUGCAUAAUGAGCCUGCGAGUUGUGGUGUCUGGCAAGGUUAAGCAAACGCGAAGCCGUAGCGAAAGCGAGUCUGAAUAGGGCGCUUAGUCAGAUGCUGCAGACCCGAAACGAAGUGAUCUAUCCAUGAGCAAGUUGAAGCUAGUGUAAGAACUAGUGGAGGACUGAACCCAUAGGCGUUGAAAAGCCCCGGGAUGACUUGUGGAUAGGGGUGAAAGGCCAAUCAAACUUCGUGAUAGCUGGUUCUCUCCGAAAUAUAUUUAGGUAUAGCGUUGUGUCGUAAUAUAAGGGGGUAGAGCACUGAAUGGGCUAGGGCAUACACCAAUGUACCAAACCCUAUCAAACUCCGAAUACCUUAUAUGUAAUCACAGCAGUCAGGCGGCGAGUGAUAAAAUCCGUCGUCAAGAGGGAAACAACCCAGACUACCAGCUAAGGUCCCUAAAUCUUACUUAAGUGGAAAACGAUG
rnacentral:rRNA from 1 species